rnacentral:rRNA from 1 species
GUGGGGAAUAUUGCACAAUGGGCGGAAGCCUGAUGCAGCGACGCCGCGUGAGGGAUGAAGGCCUUCGGGUUGUAAACCUCUUUCAGCAGGGACGAAGCGUGAGUGACGGUACCUGCAGAAGAAGCACCGGCUAACUACGUGCCAGCAGCCGCGGUAAUACGUAGGGUGCGAGCGUUGUCCGGAAUUACUGGGCGUAAAGAGUUCGUAGGCGGUUUGUCGCGUCGUUUGUGAAAACCCGGGGCUCAACUUCGGGCUUGCAGGCGAUACGGGCAGACUUGAGUGUUUCAGGGGAGACUGGAAUUCCUGGUGUAGCGGUGAAAUGCGCAGAUAUCAGGAGGAACACCGGUGGCGAAGGCGGGUCUCUGGGAAACAACUGACGCUGAGGAACGAAAGCGUGGGUAGCAAACAGGAUUAGAAACCCGUGUAGUCC